GAAGGGACCUAGCGUAGUUCGGAAUUACUGGGCUUAAAGAGUUCGUAGGUGGUUAAAAAAGUUGGUGGUGAAAUCCCAGAGCUUAACUCUGGAACUGCCAUCAAAACUUUUUAGCUAGAGUAUGAUAGAGGAAAGCAGAAUUUCUAGUGUAGAGGUGAAAUUCGUAGAUAUUAGAAAGAAUACCAAUUGCGAAGGCAGCUUUCUGGAUCAUUACUGACACUGAGGAACGAAAGCAUGGGUAGCGAAGAGGAUUAGAUACCCUCGUAGUCCAUGCCGUAAACGAUGUGUGUUAGAUGUUGGAAAUUUAUUUUCAGUAUCGCAGCGAAAGCAAUAAACACACCGCCUGGGGAGUACGACCGCAAGGUUAAAACUCAAAUGAAUUGACGGGGACCCGCACAAGCAGUGGAGCAUGUGGUUUAAUUCGAAGAUACGCGCAGAACCUUACCAACACUUGACAUGUUCGUCGCGACUCUAAGAGAUUAGAGUCUUCGGUUCGGCCGGACGAAACACAGGUGCUGCAUGGCUGUCGUCAGCUCGUGUCGUGAGAUGUUGGGUUAAGUCCCGUAACGAGCGCAACCCUUGCUCUUAGUUACCAUCAUUAAGUUGGG
rnacentral:rRNA from 1 species